rnacentral:tRNA from 1 species
GGAGCAGAUGGGUGCUGGUGUGCCCCCUGGUCUUCAAAACCAGUGAGGGUGGUGAAGAGCUGCCUAGGUGGGUUCGAUUCCCACAUGUUCC